rnacentral:lncRNA from 1 species
UUACUGUGUCCCAACAACUCGGUUUGUCAUGGCUCCAACGUCAUCCUCUUCACAUAUUUUUGCCAAGCCGAAGUCUGAUAUCUUUGGAUUCAUGUCCUUGUCUAGCAGAAUGUUGUUAGCUUUCAGGUCCCGGUGAAUUAUUCUCAAUUGUGAAUCUUGAUGCAGAUACAUAAGUCCCCGAGCUAUACCAUUGAUAAUGUAAAAUCGUUUAGGCCAGUCUAGUACCUUUGUUUGUGUCUCAUCUGCCAAAUGUUUUUGGUCAUCAACACCCUAAUUAGAUGUACUAUUUAAACGGUAGUACUAUAGGCAUCAGGUAACUGAAAUGAAGUUAUUAUAUAAUAUGCUUUUAGUGGACGGAGAGUAAUAUACCAAAUAUGAAUGAAUCAAGACUGCCGUUUGGCAAGUACUCAUAUAUCAACAUUUUUUCUUCCCCUUCAAUACAACAGCCAAGAAUCUUCACCAGAUUUCUGUGCUGAAGUUUGGCAAUAUAUACAACUUCAUUCAUAAACUCAUUUUCUCCUUGUGUGGAUGUUCUAGACAGACGCUUGACAGCUAUUUCCAGUCCUUCAAGUAUUCCCUAAACAUCACAAUCUCCACAUGUUAAUAGCAUCACUACCUAAAUUGAUGUAAGAAACAAUCAGAUAUACCUUGUAAACAGGUCCAAAGCCCCCCUCUCCAAUUUUUCUGUCGAUUGAAAAGUUAUUAGUAGCCUUCAUUAUGGUAGAUAAGUCAAACAGCGGUAUCUCCAAUUCUUCAGCACAACUACCACUGUAAUCCAUCUUGGAGCUGCCAUUUAAUCCCGAACUACCUGCCAAAAACAAAUCAAGUGAAUAUUGUUAAGGUGUGAAUUCCAGACAAAUCUGAUAGUUCUUCUAACUUUUAUUUAGGCAUAAUACAUAAAUAUGCCCUUUAACUUGGUCUCGCAUCCAUGCCCUUCAACGUAGGCUGCCAAGUAGGAUGUGUGUGUCCAGUGGCGGAUCCAGGAUUUUCGUUCAGGGGGUUCGAAAAAUAAAAGUAUAAACGUGUAUAUAUAAGCCAACAAAACAAGAUUUCAAGAAAGUAGUAGUAUUUAGUUUUAGUGGCGGACCCUUGAAUUUUUUUGGGUUUAAAACCACACUUUUAGCAUGUUUUAUAAAAUAAAAAACAAAAAAAAACGUGAAAACGGAACUGAAACCUUAAAAAAAAACAAAAAAAAACUGAAAUUGAAAAAGAAAAAAAUAAAACGCUACUGCAGGGAUUCGAUCCCUCAACUUGAGACUUAAUUUUCAGGGAAAAUACCACUAGGCUAUCUCUUUUUCCUUGUCAUUGAGGGGGUUCAAAAUAUAUAUAUCCAAAAUAAAUACAGAAAAUUACCUUAUAUAUACAGUGUAAUUUUUUGCCGAGGGGGUUCGGGUGAACCCCCUGGAACCAACGUGGGUCCGCCCCUGUGUGUGUCUAGCUACUUUUUCAACUAUAUACAAGUUUAAGUGUCUGUGUAUAUGCAUGCCCAAAGUUGAAAGGCAUAGAUGAAGCCAAGUUAAAAGGACACGUUUAAGUAUCAUGCCUCUUAUUUGAAUUUGUAUUCCUCUAUUUUGCUAAGAUGUCAGGACAAAAAGGGAUUUAUCAAGCUUACCUUUCUUUUUGAUUACUAAAGUCUUCUUCUUUCUUCUAUGAUAGAUCAGCAUGCUAAGAAUUACCAGAACCGCACCAACUGCAAAUGGCAGAAUCCAUUGAAGUACUUUUCGCUUCUUUCCAUCUGAUUUCUCCAGAUUAUCUGCAAGUAUCCAUUUAUCUAAAGUAGCAGCUUGCGUUUCUAUUAAAACAUGUUAGAUAGCAAUAAGACAUACCUGCUUCAGAAGCAGCCAUUCUAAUGUAGAUAUCUUGCCCUCCGUUGGAUUCCUGCUGAAUGUCAAGCAGAUCCUCUAACCACAAUAUGCAUCCACUUCCUCCAUUGCGUAUAUCAGCAUUUGAGUAAGCCAUACAAGAGCAAUUUUUUGAGCAGAAAUCCUUGCAUUCUUCUAGUGUCAUAGUCACAUUAGACCAGGAAUUCCGUGUGUCUGGCAAUUUGAUAUGUGAAUACUUCAAAAAUACGUCUCCUUUAAGGCAAUUUAGUUCAGUUCUCCGAACACAGCCACCUGACCAAUCUGUCUUCUUCCAAGCUUCACUAUUGUUGGGAACGAAUUUGUCUAAGCAUCCACAUACUGGAAAAUCUUGACUGUUGCAGCUACCAUAUGCACCACACAACUUAUACGUAUCACAGUUAUCUGCGGGUAUUAAGAGGAAAGGGACCCAACCUUGUUUUCCGUCACCCCAAGUCCAAAGUUGUAACACACCAUUCUGACUCAAUAUCAACCUCACGAUAACUGAAGACGUGAGCUUAUAUCCAAAGUACAACUCUGUCUUACUUGUAAAUACUCCAAUUGUAUAGUAAGGACAUUCUCUUGAGUUUUGUGAUCCACUGAAAGAACGACCAUUCCACGGUCCAGAGCGAUAUACAACAUCUGAUCCCUUCUUCAUGAUGUUCUGUGGAUAACCAGAAGGAUCACAAUGAUAUGUAUAAUCACCAGGAGCUGGAUCCUCCUCAUUCUUCCAUGAUGACAAGUACACCUCUCGUCCUGUUACAAAGUUCCAACCGAGCUUCAUGCCUGGUAAUAGUGUAUUAGUUGGGUGAUCAAAAUUCUGCCAAAGCAAAUUCCCAUCACUAACACCAUGACCAGAUUGUGAUUGUUUCACAACAAGAUUCCCUGAAUCCAGCAACUGUGCUACUGGAUUUUGCACGGAUCUCGAAGUAUUAGUUGACCAUACAACAUUGCUACUGUCAUUGAGAAGGACAAGAAUUCCUGGCUCAAUGACCUUCAAAAUACCAGUUGUACUAGUCAGAGGAGCUUCUCUAUUCGCGACCCACACCACGGUCCUAACAGAUAUGUUCUUGUACCAUAUCCCCACAUAGCGAUUAUUGGAUUUACCUGGACUGAAGAAUCCCAUUUCGAAGGUUCCACCACGUGAUACAAUAAAAUUGUCCUCGUCAUCUUUGAGAAAAUCUGUCGUAGUUAUUGUAUCUGUAGCGCAAAAACAUAGGUAGAUGGAAGAAAAGACUACAAGCAUGAAUGUGCCAAAAACAACUGCGUUUAAUGGCACGUUCAUGCUUCGACUUCCCAUUAAUUAAAUCACAAUCAGAGUCCUAUUAUAUAUCAUUACCAAGGAAAAUAGUAAAUCUAACUCUACAUCAAAAUGAUUGUCAUUUCCACUAAUGUUUGUGUGCGUUGUUUGCUUAAUUGAGAAGUAGUGUGGUUAAUUAUGGCUAGUAGGACAUUAAUAAUGCAAAAACAUUUUUUAAAAUUAAAAAGCCAAGCAUGAUCUAUACUUUGUAAUUUUAUAUUCGAUAUUGUCUUUGUCAGUUACUCACAAUGGAUCAAUCUUAUUGGCUGAAACAAAAGAGUAAUUUUAUUAUAAUUUGCUCGAUAAUAUUUGUACCCUUUAACAAUUUGUCUUUUCCCCCACUUUUGAGUCUCCAUUUCUUUAUUCACGCACGUUUGAUAUCUUUUUUAAAAAAAAAUGGAUUUCUCAGUGUUUCAAAUUCAUUUUCAUUCCCGCCACUUUUGAAAAGUUGCCACAAACAUGCAUGCAUCAGGAUUUUACGCUUUACCAUUGUCUGUUUCUAUUUAAGCAUCUUAAUACUAGUAUUAUUUUAGGAGUAGUUAUUAUGCAUUAUUACAAAAUAGUAUGUUAUUGCACUCGGAAAUACGUACUAGCUAGUUUGCAGUGGCAAAUUCAAGUUUUAAAGUUUGUGGAUUCCUAAAGCAAUAUUCUUGAGUUGAUAAAGGUUUAUUUUUAGAUAUUUAUAAAUAUUCAAUCAACAUUUUAAUAUGUAUAUAUAUAAUUUGAGUUUGCUCACACUAGCUAGCCAAAAAAAUCUAGCAAGUUCCCCAUUUGUCAAUUUCCAAUUUGUUAACAUGACCACAAUGUUUAAAUCAUUAAGGGAUCAUAAUUUCAAAUAAAAUAUAAGAUUAAUUUAUUUCAUCUCUAAGGCUAAUAUAACACCUCUUCUACCUAAAGGAACCAAAAACACAUUAUUUUAAUUAAUCAAAGGUUAAAUAGGCUCUUCGUUCACUUUUAUUAAUCCAUUUUAGACUUUGCAUGCCUUAAAAAAAUAAUGACUAAUGUGAGUAUUUAUUACAAUAUCCAUAUUAAUUGAAGGUCUUUAGGUCUUGAGAAAUAAUUUGGGAAUAAGUAACUAAUCUUGAGGGUAAAAAAUAGAAAAAAAAACUAUUAUCUUUUCUUGAUAUGUUAAUAAGUAAAAAUAAAAAUUUAUUUUUAAACAUAGUGAUAAGUAAAAUGGAAAGUAAGUUAUAUGAUUCUUAAGCUGACAUGUGUCCCUCCGUUAAAAUUAGGGAAUCAUAUGUACCAAAGUAUAACGGUAGAAAUAUAUUUAAAUCGAAAGUAUAAGGAAGGGUAUAUUUGAACUAUUUUCUAUACUACAUGCCUACAUGAGUAUAUUUGACCCUUUUCUGUUGUAUUAAAUCACCUAUUAGGAGGACCAAAAACAGAAUUCACCAAUAAUUAGUGACCAAAAUGCUAUUAUUAUUAUUAUUAUUUUUAUUAUUAUUAUUAUUGUGGGAAAAGUGUGUCCUCUCUCUGUGCUUCGCCUUCCCCUUUCUCUAUUCUCUCUACGUUCAAUGUCUGCUUCUCCUCUUUGUUUCUAAAUUCCUCUCUGCGUUCCCUCCCGCUCCGAUUUCACUCUCUGAGAUCUAUGGCUAGUUUAAUGCAACGUUGAGUUUGGUGACGCUCUGAAUUGAAUUCUGGACUGUGAAUAUAUACAUGACGACAGAGGCUCAAUAUGGCGAGUUUAUGGUUACGGUACUCUUCUCCUUGCUUAUUGAUGAUUUUAGUUCCUGCUUAUUCUAAUUGUUUUAGUAUUAUCUAGAGCUAUACUUGUGAAAUGGAAAAUAUCAUCUGCAUUGUUGUCAUUUGAGUUUUGACAUGCAUUAGCUAUUCAAUUUUUGUUAAUUGGUUGGGUUUAUUGCGUCAAAGCUUGAUUAAUUGUGAUUCACCCAAAUUAUUUAUGGAGGCUAGACGUUUUCCGUAAAUUGAUUCUUUUCCGUCAUUAAAUAAUGGAAAAGUUGUAGUAAACUGUGCUAAUCAGUUUUGUUGGUCAAUUAGGGCAAAUAUAACCCAAUUUUAAGAUGGCAAGGACACCAUUGACGCCAAUAAUUAAUGAAGAGUAUAUAUAGACCAUUUCAUAUAGUUGAGCAAAUUUGACUCUUUGCCCUUUGAGCAAUUUGGAUGUCAAGCUUGAAUUACAAUAGAAAAUGAACAAAAUACUGCAGUUAAAGUAACAACUAAACUGCAAAAAACGAUGAGACAUCUUUGCCUCGGGAUAGAUGGUCAUAUACUGCAAAAAUAAUGCAACCUACUGCACCCAAGGGUGAGAGACCUAGUGGUCAAUGAAGUGGUUGAGAACUCUGAGGUCAAUUCUUUAUGGAAGAAACAUAAUAUCUAAAAUUUAUCCAAUAAGCACACACAUAUGACAUAACAAAACAGUUUUAGGGACGGGUGUAACGUCAUCAUAUUCUAAUUAAAUCUUGUGUUCAGGUUUGAGACUAAUGAUUUGAACUUCAUUAAUGUGCCCUUUUCCUUAUUAAUCCCACAACAUUUUCUAAUAAAUUAGUUGCAGCCAUUAAAUUUUGCUUAACGGAAGUAUUUCACUCGACUUAUAUAUAAAGUUAACCAAAAAAAAAUACUCAAUCAAACAAAGUGAGACGUAGUAUCAGAUAUACUGCGCAAAUCAAAGUAACAGCCAGUCAGCAAGCUUCCUACAUAUGUUUGACAUAGUUGAUACACCUAAAAAAGCACAAUCAUGCACACAUUUUUUUCACCACAUUACUAUAGAGAAUUAAGAAAAGAUCAUUGCAACUGCAAGCUUGUUGCAAACAAGUGAACCAAUAUCUUCUAUCGAGCAGCUAGUAUUGUGAUGGGGGUGUCACUCACUGUAAUCUGUGCAGAUUGGCUAGGAGUGAAAUCACCACCCGGUGCAUUUCCUUCUAUGUAAAAACCUGGUUGUUUAGCCAACGGCAACACACCUUCAUUGUUUAACAUCAGAACUGCGGAAGACAUACUUAGACGAUCUUCAGGACAUUGUUGGACACAUAAUAAACCAACACUAAUUGAUCGUACCACUUCAGAUGUUGAACAAGAAUCACCUAGGCAUUCAUCAAGUAGUUCUAUUGACCUACCUUGUAUAUAAAGUUUCCAUGCCUGUAGAUAUUGCAAGCUUAUUAGCAGGGGUCGUUUUACAAGAUAUUUGUUACUAGUAUAUAACAUACACCAAGGAAUAAAUAAAAUUAAACAACUGCACCCAAGGGUGUGACCUAGUGGUCGAUGAUCAGUUUCAAAUUCCAGCAGAGACAAAAAACACUAGGCAAUUUCUUCCCAUCAGUCCUAACCUUGUUGGACAGAGUUACCCGGUACCUAUUGGUGGUGGGAGUUUGCAGGUAUCCCAUGGAAUAAGUUGAGGUGUGCGCAAGCUGGCCUCGGCACCACGACAACAACAACAUAACUAGUAUAAUCCCACAAGUGGAGUUUGGGGAGGGUAGUGUGUAUGUAGGCCUUACCACUACCUCGUUGGUAGAGAGACUAUUUUUGAUAGACGCUUGGCUCAAGUAUGUUGGCUCCAACACCUCGGUUAUCAAAAAAAUAAGAAAUAAAACAAGUAAAAUCUUACAUGCCCGAGUAGAUUAAGGUUAUGAUCUGGAUGAGAGAAUUUUCUGUUGCUUUUCCCACUGACAAUUUCCAAUACUAAAAUACCAAAGCUAAAUACAUCUGAUUUUACUGAGUAUUUUCCGUGCAAUGCAUAUUCCGGUGAGAGGUACCCACUGCAUUAAAAUGUGCGCAACAUUAUAAUUAGUAAUGCUGGAAAACAUGCCUUUACUAACUGAAGAUUCUUCUUUGGUUCAAAUUAUUAUCCAGUAAAUCUUAUCAAAAUAAUACUAUCCAGUGGAAGGUUCUUACUAUGUUCCAACUACUCGGUUUGUCAUGGCUCCAAUGUCAUCCUCUUCACAUAUUUUUGCCAAGCCGAAGUCUAAUAUCUUUGGAUUCAUGUCCUUGUCUAGCAGAAUGUUGUUAGCUUUCAGGUCUCUGUGAAUUAUUCUCAAUUGAGAAUCUUGAUGCAGAUACAUAAGUCCCCGAGCUAUACCAUUGAUAAUGUGAAAUCGCUUAGGCCAGUCUAAUGCCUUGC